rnacentral:rRNA from 1 species
UGCAAGUCGAACGGCAGCACGGGAGCAAUCCUGGUGGCGAGUGGCGAACGGGUGAGUAAUAUAUCGGAACGUGCCCAGUCGUGGGGGAUAACGCAGCGAAAGCUGUGCUAAUACCGCAUACGAUCUCUGGAUGAAAGCGGGGGACUCGCAAGAGCCUCGCGCGAUUGGAGCGGCCGAUAUCAGAUUAGCUAGUUGGCGGGGUAAAAGCCCACCAAGGCGACGAUCUGUAGCUGGUCUGAGAGGACGACCAGCCACACUGGAACUGAGACACGGGCCAGACUCCUACGGGAGGCAGCAGUGGGGAAUUUUGGACAAUGGGCGAAAGCCUGAUCCAGCAAUGCCGCGUGCAGGAUGAAGGCCUUCGGGUUGUAAACUGCUUUUGUACGGAACGAAACGGUCUACCCUAAUACGGUGGGCUAAUGACGGUACCGUAAGAAUAAGCACCGGCUAACUACGUGCCAGCAGCCGCGGUAAUACGUAGGGUGCGAGCGUUAAUCGGAAUUACUGGGCGUAAAGCGUGCGCAGGCGGUUAUAUAAGACAGAUGUGAAAUCCCCGGGCUCAACCUGGGACCUGCAUUUGUGACUGUAUAGCUAGAGUACGGUAGAGGGGGAUGGAAUUCCGCGUGUAGCAGUGAAAUGCGUAGAUAUGCGGAGGAACACCGAUGGCGAANNNAAUCCCCUGGACCUGUACUGACGCUCAUGCACGAAAG